AGUGAACGCUGGCGGUAGGCCUAACACAUGCAAGUCGAACGGCAGCACAGUAAGAGCUUGCUCUUACGGGUGGCGAGUCGCGGACGGGUGAGGAAUACAUCGGAAUCUACUUUUUCGUGGGGGAUAACGUAGGGAAACUUACGCUAAUACCGCAUACGACCUACGGGUGAAAGCAGGGGAUCUUCGGACCUUGCGCGAUUGAAUGAGCCGAUGUCGGAUUAGCUAGUUGGCGGGGUAAAGGCCCACCAAGGCGACGAUCCGUAGCUGGUCUGAGAGGAUGAUCAGCCACACUGGAACUGAGACACGGUCCAGACUCCUACGGGAGGCAGCAGUGGGGAAUAUUGGACAAUGGGCGCAAGCCUGAUCCAGCCAUACCGCGUGGGUGAAGAAGGCCUUCGGGUUGUAAAGCCCUUUUGUUGGGAAAGAAAAGCAGCAGGUUAAUACCCCGCUGUUCUGACGGUACCCAAAGAAUAAGCACCGGCUAACUUCGUG
rnacentral:rRNA from 1 species